rnacentral:rRNA from 1 species
UACGAAGGGGGCUAGCGUUGUUCGGAAUUACUGGGCGUAAAGCGCGCGCAGGCGGCUAUCCAAGUCAGUGGUGAAAGCCCGGAGCUCAACUCCAGAACUGCCUUUGAUACUGAAGAUCUUGAGUUCGGGAGAGGUGAGUGGAACUGCGAGUGUAGAGGUGAAAUUCGUAGAUAUUCGCAAGAACACCAGUGGCGAAGGCGGCUCACUGGCCCGAUACUGACGCUGAGGCACGAAAGCGUGGGGAGCAAACAGG